UUUUUUUUUCGAAAGUAGAAUUCGAUAAAUUAUAGUGAAAAUUACAACAAGCACGAAUAAAGGAAGGAGAAAUUCUGGGGUGGUCAUUAUAGCGGUUCCUUCUGAUCCUAGAAAACGUCCGAAAAAACCUGCUACGGAACUACCUAGCAGGGGCAAAAAUACGAUAAGUAGAUACAUAAUUUCGAGUGUGAUCAGACAACCAAAAAUCAGACAAUGAGAGAGCGGCUGAGUGAUAGAUUGAUCGACGUUCGGAGAACGCUCGACCGAAGGAAUUUUGCACAAGGUGAAUUGUAAGCCCCAACGACUUCGGAACGAGCAUUUUCGGGGACUAGCCCGCUUCCCAUUACUCAAGAGGGCAGUCCUCUUUCAUGUGGAAUCGUUUUAGAUCGUACCCAAGCCCGCCUCCACUUUCUUAUGUGAAAGAGGUCUUGCUUUAUGAGACUGAAACCUUCUUUUCUUUCUUAGAUCGGAAGACGAAUGAGAUCAAAAAGGCCAUCAUUGGGGCAAACGAUGCAAUAGCUUCGGUUAGAGCAAAGCCCAAAAUGGCAUAACCAAAUGAUUGUUUAGCCAAUGAUGGAUUUCGUGCCACGGAAUGGAUCAAAGAACUGAACACGUUUCCAAUACCGACAGCAGCUCCCGCUGAAGCAAUUGUAGCAGCUCCGGCACCCAUUAAUUUUGCACCUUCUAACAUCUCGGGUUGAGAAUUCUCGUCACGCUUUUUCAUUCACGAUUUUUUGUUAUGGAUUUCUCGUCGAUUCUUCCCCUCGUUCCUUUUCUCUUGGGCAUCGUACUUGGUUUGCCCACGUCUUUUCGAUCUUGUACCCACGGCACUGAACACCAACCCAAUCUCGACGAAAAAAAAAAGAAAAAAUGUGCGCAACUGCAUCAACAAUGUCUUCUUCUUGCCGCAAAGGAAAUGCAUGAGUGAAAGACUCUUUCAGAAUUCUGAAAGAUUUCUUUUUCGUAGAAAAAUGAAACAAUCUUAUUCAAGCUUUCUGGACGUCUUUCUACGCGUAAAGCUUUAGAUUCAUAGAUCGGUCGUUCCAGAUGUGAUGUUGCAAGCCGCCGAUCCGCGCAACCAAUAUCUGACGCGAGGCCAGUUCUUCUUUAUACGAUUACGAUAAAGAUCGAGCCGAUUAGUAAGCCUUGCCCUGUUGAUACGCUAAAGCAUAGCAGCUCGAGAACUCACAAACUGAAGAGCUCACGUCACGAAUUAAAGAUGCUACGUGACGCUUCAUAUGCGGAUACAAGGGCCCAGCCCAUUAUGAUUAGGGAAGGCUCCUUUUUUGUUUGCUUGAUGAGUCAGGUUCCGCCCAUUCGACUGGCAAAGUUCAUGAGCUGGUGUUCUCUAAAUGUACCAAGUCUUAUGUACUCUAGCAGUAGUGGGCGAAGCAAGGGAUGGAGCUAGUUCAAAAGGGAAGUCAGCUCCUUUAAUACCAGUAGUCCGAAAGCUUUAGUCAGAAAGGGAAGUCAGGAAGAUAUGAAAUAUCUGUAACAGGAAGUCGUGUAAGGCGGUGGUGUUCUCCUUUGUUCCUCUGUCCUAGUCAUUUCGUGGUCUAGUGAGCCCUCUUAAGCCUCUUCUUCGUAAUCAAGCCGAAGCAAGGAUGAUGCUAACCUAUAAGUGUAAAGAAAGGGGAAUUCGUUCUGAGAAGUGUUGUGCUAAGUCUGGCAUCUGCCUUACCUUUCUUUGCGGGAAAUUGCUCAAAUCUCUGACUUCGAUUUAACGCUGGUGAAAAACUAAGACUUUCUUUCAGUGAGCUAUUCCCUUUCACUCUAUUCAACUCGAGUUUGUACCUAUCGUACCUAUCUAUCGAGCCUGCCCUGGUCAAUCUUUCCCGCCCUCUCCACUGGAAAAUCCAAUACAAUAUAAGUAAAGAAAAACGACUACUCGGAAAAAAGACUAAUUCCACUUCCUUUUCAUUUCAGUUCACGGAUAGCUAUCCUAUCUAAAUGAACGAACUCUUCCUUCCUAGCGGGACUCAUAAAGAGGAGAAGACAGCAAGCAGCCUCUUAGUAGCUGCUCUUUGUGACGAGAAUCUCAUUGGUUAUCGAAUCGCUUGCCUUUCCCUUGAUCGAGCAAACCCAAAACCAGUUUUCGACGAGAACCUCAUGGGUAGUGCUCAUAAACUUGAAAGUGACUAUCAGUGCAGCCACAUGGCUAGCUGUCUAGCGGAAAGGGCUCCUUCCUUCCUAAAAAUAAUUCAAGAUGGCCAGCAAAUGAAGGGAUAGCAGCAGCGGCUGCCCGCAUCCCACCUCCCUGAGACAACGGGCAACUUACCUCUUUCUCACUUCUGCCCGUAGGGGAAAUUGAAGAGAAAAUGAAAUGCAUCCUACUAACGUCAGUUAAAAGUACAUCCUACUAACGCAAGUUUGGUUUGUUUGCUUGUCCACUUUCCGGAAUGAUUUAUAUUGAUUGAGACCAGAAGAAUGUGAUUUAACGCUCGCUAGCUGUUGAAAGUUUCGAUUUAGUUCCUGGAUCGAGGCAAUAUUGAUUGAUUGAUUCUUUACUUGACUUGCACUGACCCCAGGAAGAAAAGAAUAAGAUUCUUGAGCUGUCAGAGCAGAGGAGAUUCCAGUCAGAAAAGGUCCUACUAACUCAACUUCUAAGCUUGAAGGUGAAGGGGGGCUUUGCCCUCCCGGUAUCAAUGGAUGAUGCUAAAAGCAACCUGAAGCUGGUGAGCUUGUUACGACUGAAAUCGGUGAUUCCUCGUUCACUGCUGAUUCUUCUAUUCCUGCUGUUCUGGAUGAAUAAACCAACCCGCCAUAAAAGAAUCCUGCCCGACGGGAAUGUGUGGUAUGCUAAGGUGGAGCCUCCUUCUUCAACAGCCAAGUCACGAAAUACCGAACCCAAAUCCGCUCCUUGCCCCAAGGGCAAGGGAUAAGGCGGCCUCGUUCCCGGAGUUCCUACGGUAGCUAAAAGAAGGGUUAUUGUCGUUGCUAAAGGCAGAGUGCCGUAGCCACCCAUAAAAGAAGCCGGCUUCCCCUUCAUCCAGUGAUCAAAAGCAAAUAUCCACGAAACCCGCUAAGGAAAGGAUUUGGGAGAGAAAGAAUAGCUAUCCAGUUCAGCUAGCGAGGAGCAACUUAUUUACUUCUCACUUUCAGCUCUAUCUCUAUACUAUAUUAGUAGAUGUCACUUCCUCUUCCUUCUCACCUCUCAUUCCUUUUCUGACCUACGGCACUGAACGUCAACCCCUCUGAUAGAAAGUCAAUGAGCGCGGUGCAACAAAGCUUCUAGUUUCGGUAUCUCUCCCGUGGGUAUACCCUUCAAUAGUGAGUAUCUCUCUCGUGAAGUAAGAAUUUAUAAUAUGAGCUGAAUCCACUACUGGAAAGGCAGGAGGGCGAAGACGAAGUAGGGUUGAGUCUCAGGAAGCGUUUAGGCCGGGUUCGAAGCUUUCUUCAAAGACAGGUACAGUAGCUACUUUAAUCUCAGGGGAAUAAAAUGGAUAAUCAAACUGCUAAGGUGAGUUUACUCUCCCUUUAGGGGAUGGAAGUUGACUUACAAAGAAAAAGGGUAUAAUUAUAAUAUUUUUCAGUCUCAGUUCUUUCUUUAGUCAGGGAAUUUGCUUGUUGCUCAAGGGAAGGAUCUAUGUAAUAAUAGUUAAAUAAGGAUUCUUCUAAGCGCUGGAGUCCGAAGGGUCCGAAGGAGUGGUAUCAAGCCUGCUCGUAGCUCACCCGUAACCCGUAAAGUAGGCAAUAUGUAAUAUUGUAGUAGGAGCCUCUUACUCCAUCCGAAGAGGAGAAUCUCUAUUAAGCUUUCUUUUUCUUCUCAGCCCAAGUUCAAAGACAGCUCGCUCAGUCGAACCGAACUUCGAAUCCAAUAAAUCCAAUGUAUCAUAGAAGGAUAACCUGUGAGUUAGGGAUGAUGUAAUUAAGAAGGAUAAGCUGUGAGCUAGGGUAAUAUUCCAUAUUAGAACAGUUCAGCAAAGACAGGUUAGAAUGGUAAUCUAGAUAGGUAGUUUGCUCACGAGCUGCAAUCAAUAGAAAGGGAUCCACCCUAAAGAAGAGGAUCGGAUCCACCUGAAGUAGUCAAGUCCCAAUCAAUGGAAGAUGUGGACUCUUUCCGACCCGCGAGCCAUGAAGAUUGAAUAUGUGGAGUCCAAAAGUGGAAAUCCAUUAGUGGCAUGAGAAGAAGUAGGGACGGGACUGAGGGAAGUCAUUCCAGGCAAGAGAGCCAAUCAGGGAAAUCCUCCCGGUAGAAGCGAAUAGACAGAAGUAGGAAAGAAAUUUGGAAAAUAUCUUAAUCAAGAUCAGAAGGCGAGAUAGCAGUGUUCAUUCAGGCAGGGGUUUCUACGAAAGACCCGAUUGCUGACUCUUCUAGUGUUGUGUUCACCACGGGGAUUGAACAUCAGGGGAAGAGGAGAUGAAGAUUGGGGUUCACCAGGCAAGAACGAGAGGUCCGUAGUGUGACAGGCUAGGUACGCCGCUCACCUGUAUCAGUUAUGGGGGUAGAAACUGAAAGAUUAGAAAAGGGAUUAGACGCAGAAGAAGAAUCUUAUGCUGGGCACAGUCCUAUUGAUGUUGAUUCAAUUGAAAAGCAGGCUACCCAUAGUUAUAAAACAAACUCCUCUCCAGGAAGACGAAGGUGGGUUCAGGAGUGAAAGGUAAGCGAAGCGUACAUGAAAUAUCGUAAAAAUGUUAUAACUAUCUCUUUCUCUUUACUAGGAGCUGCUUGCCCAGUCAGAAAGCUAGGAUCAGUCUCUGUCCACUCUAAGGUAAGGAAGCCCCGUCUCAGGCGAAGGUUGCUCCGUAUUCUCUUCUUUCAUAGAGCCUCUCUCCGUGGAGGAAUGAAUUCAGGUAACUAAGCGCAAGGAAUGAAUGAGCUCAUCUCGUUAAGAAUGAGGAGCGAAUGAUCAAAUCAAGUUCCAAUCUCAGUCUAAGUUACCCAAGAUCCAGUAAAUAUAGGAGGAAUUUCUAAGAUAGGUACGUUGUCAGCGAGGGUAAUAUUCCAUAUUACUUAAAAUAGGCGAUCAAUUCCAUGUGAAAUGAAAGGGGCAAGCCCCGUCUCAGUCGUCGAAGGGAUAAUGUAAUUAUGUUCUUUUAUCCCCUGUUCUAGGCGCAAUUCGUGGGCAAAGGCAAAGGGAGAGGUAAGCGUAGGCCUUCUCAGUCGAAGGAGAAACGGAAUCUAGGACGGGAUUGGAUUAAGGGCUUUCAAGCAUGGGUAGAAAGGUCCUCUUAGGUGUUAAUCCGCACGGGACGAUUGAUUAGGCAAAGAUGAUGCUAACGGACCAGGCCCAGGAGAGGAGAUUUCCGCUGUGAACGCUAUCUCAGAAGCUCAGGCUGUUGCACGCCUUACAUCUCAGAUUGCAUCUUCGCCUCCACGAAAGAAGAAUCCAAUAAGUCAAGUUCCAUGGGCAUCCUCCGAAGUAUCAUCUCAAUCCGGCGCUUUCUAAGGGAAGGCUUUAGCUUUCCAAUCGUAGGCCUGGGCCUUCUUGACCCUUUCUCGGAGAGGCAACCGUCUUGUCUUAACUGUCCCGAGCUACCGUUGUGGGUUGUGCUCAGUAAACGAGUUGUCCUAAAUGCCCCAGCAGUCGCAGUAAGCUCAGGCGAAGUUUCAAGCAAGUUCCUCGCACCUCACCUAACCACUCUAUUUCUCCUAGAAGGCAACGUGAUAAGCAACUUGACUUCUUUGAUCAUUUGAAAGAGGCCCGGGGUAUCAGUCAAAGAAAUGUUCAUAAUCCGCUUUCAAAUAGGCCCUGGUAGCUUGCUUCUUUUAUCUAUCUGCUUAGUCUCAGUUCUAAGACAGGUAAGGUUAGUUUACUUCUCGACCAAAGGGAGAGGUAAUAUAUAAUAGGCUCGACCACCGGGAGAGGAAGUGAAGUAGGGAAGCUCAGUAGGGUUAGGGAGUGAAGUACUCUAGUAGCUCGCCAGGGGAAAGCUCAAUAGAUAGUAAGGGUAGUUUUUAACUAGCAAUUCAGGAUUGAAGGUUUUGACCUUUCCGAGAAAAAUCCCUUGUUGGGAUGGUACAGUCAGUAAGAAUGACAUGAUACAUGAGCAAGUAGGCGUUGAUCUUUUUAUCAUCUUUCUUGCUGGCCCGUAGAUUUGAUCGCCAGUUUCCGGCGGUGUCUAAUCGCAUCGGUACGGGAUUCCCUAUGCCCCUCCUCUUUUCUUUGGUAUAGUUGUAGUUAGUUUCUCACACAGGAAGUACGACUCAAACUGAGCUAAAGGUAAUGACCUGGGACACUGCCCUUUCCUUUCAUAUUCAUAGUAGCAAAUCGGAGCUCGCCAAUCAAUCUUUGACCGAUAGGAGAGGGCUUUAGUGCUGUAGCACCCAAUUGUGGCUCUUCACGGCUUGCAAAGCGUGCUUUACUUGGCUCCUUGAAGAGUUUGAUCAGCGAGGAUUCAACCAGUGAAGGCUCGACGCAGUUGAGAAGAAAUGCUCUCUAGCCCGGCAAAGGGGAUAUCAAGAUUCACGUGCGAAGGGACGAGCGAAAGGCUUCCUAGCUUCCUAGUAGGAAGCCUGGUAUAAGAAAGAAAGUAGAGCUAGGCAAGGUCUUCUGUGAGUGAACGAGAUGAGGAUCAAAGAAAAUCGAACUAACUGUGAUAAGCAAAGCGGUUCAUUUUACCAUAAAAGCAGAAAGAAGGAAAGAGAACAGAUGAAAGUUCGCCCAAUGGAAGCGAGUGACUCAAGGUAUGCCAUCGCUCUUCUCUCUUGACCUGAGACUCGGACCUGAGACUAGGUUGGGGGAGUUCAGUGAGCGAGGAGAAGAGUCGGUAGCUGUUAAAAAGAAUCAAUUCAAUCAGCUCCAGAGCUAGGAGUUCUAUGUCUAGGUUGAGGAUUGAGGAGAGUCCUUUUAGUUAAUCUUAGCUGCUACCCUACUUAUCCCAGCUCUAAAGGCAGCUACUGAUUCGAUAGCUCAAGUUGAGUCGACUGUGAUUCUUCUUGUUCCGCUGUGAAUGGUCUCGUUAUCGUAUGAAGUCCUUUUCCCGGCUUCCAUACCUUCUUCUUAGUCUUCGGCUUUCACUGGAUUCACUACUCUAAGUGAAGGAACCCGAGAGGAAGAAUCCGAUCUUUGAAGGGGAAGAAAAGAAAGGAUGCCAUUUAGCUGUUGGAGUAAAGGCAUUAGGAGAUUAGGACUCAGGGCAUGGCAUUAGAUUAGGUAAAUGCUCUUUUGAACGAAUCCUAAGAAGAAGCUGCAAUUGGAAUGCUUUCAAUGGCCAGAAGGGAGGAGAGAGAUAUGACAGGCCCAGAAGAUGGGGGCAAAUAAACCGAAUCUGGUGAGGUCCGAGUGGACGGCUGUGCAGAAGAGCCUGGGCGGUCCAUAAACUAUCGAGAGAGAGUAGCUGGGUCCGUAGAAGGAGGUGAGCGAGGGUGGACACCCGCAAAAGGUAAGACAGUCUCGUCAAAAACAACAUGACCGAGAGGUAUAAACUCGGGCCGUAGAGGGAUCCAAGCAACGGUAGUCUGGGUGUGAACGUAUUAACUUAGAAGAAGUAGAAUAUCACUUAAAUACUUAAAGAGUAAGAAUGGUGGCUUUUCAAGAGCGAGAUAAUUAGAGCAUG
rnacentral:lncRNA from 1 species